GCACAAGCGGUGGAUGAUGUGGUUUAAUUCGAUGCAACGCGAAAACCUUACCACCUUUGACAUGGCAGGAAUCCCGAAGAGAUUUGGGAGUGCUCGAAAGAGAACCUGCACACAGGUGCUGCAUGGCUGUCGUCAGCUCGUGUCGUGAGAUGUUGGGUUAAGUCCCGCAACGAGCGCAACCCUUGCCAUUAGUUGCUACGAAAGGGCACUCUAAUGGGACUGCCGGUGACAAACCGGAGGAAGGUGGGGAUGACGUCAAGUCCUCAUGGCCCUUAUAGGUGGGGCUACACACGUCAUACAAUGGCCGGUACAGAGGGUUGCCAAGCCGCGAGGUGGAGCUAAUCUCACAAAACCGAUCGUAGUCCGGAUCGCAGUCUGCAACUCGACUGCGUGAAGUCGGAAUCGCUAGUAAUCGUGAAUCAGAAUGUCACGGUGAAUACGUUCCCGGGCCUU
rnacentral:rRNA from 1 species